GGAUUAGAUACCCUGGUAGUCCACGCUGUAAACGAUGAGUACUAGGUGUCGGGGGUUACCCCCCUCGGUGCCGCAGCUAACGCAUUAAGUACUCCGCCUGGGGAGUACGCACGCAAGUGUGAAACUCAAAGGAAUUGACGGGGACCCGCACAAGUAGCGGAGCAUGUGGUUUAAUUCGAAGCAACGCGAAGAACCUUACCUAAGCUUGACAUCCUUUUGACCGAUGCCUAAUCGCAUCUUUCCCUUCGGGGACAGAAGUGACAGGUGGUGCAUGGUUGUCGUCAGCUCGUGUCGUGAGAUGUUGGGUUAAGUCCCGCAACGAGCGCAACCCUUGCCUUUAGUUGCCAUCAUUAAGUUGGGCACUCUAGAGGGACUGCCAGGGAUAACCUGGAGGAAGGUGGGGAUGACGUCAAAUCAUCAUGCCCCUUAUGCUUAGGGCUACACACGUGCUACAAUGGGUGGUACAGAGGGCAGCGAAGUCGUGAGGCCAAGCUAAUCCCUUAAAGCCAUUCUCAGUUCGGAUUGUAGGCUGAAACUCGCCUACAUGAAGCUGGAGUUACUAGUAAUCGCAGAUCAGAAUGCUGCGGUGAAUGCGUUCCCGGGUCUUGUACACACCGCCCGUCACACCAUGGGAGUUGGGGGCGCCCGAAGCCGGCUAGCUAACCUUUUGGAAGCGGUCGUCGAAGGUGAAACCAAUAACUGGGGUGAAGUCGUAACAAGGUAGCCGUAUCGGAAGGUGCGGCUG
rnacentral:rRNA from 1 species